UUCGAGAUGUGGAAACAACCUUGCAGAAAUGGUGGGUAAGGCUAUGUACAAUAGAUUGUUGUGGUCUGGCCCUUCCCCGGACUCCAAGCAUUGCAGGGGAUUAGUGCACCGGGCAGCCAUUAUGACGGAUAGCUAUUGAGAUACUUCAGUGAAUCUGUUGUUGCUAUUUAGGAAUGAAGUUACUGCUAUUCUUUUACUAUUUCCUAAUAUCCUAUAGUUCCUGUUAUCUAUAUUGACUCAAUUCAUGUCUUCAGUGGCUUGCUUGAAGGGACAACAAAGAGUCCGGCAACCAUGGUGGACCCCGUCUUAUAUCUCCGUAGAGUUUAAGAAGACAGCCAAGCG
rnacentral:lncRNA from 1 species